rnacentral:rRNA from 1 species
AACGAACGCUGGCGGCGUGGAUAAGACAUGCAAGUCGAACGGGAACUUCAGCUGUAGCAAUACAGUUGAAGUUUUAGUGGCGAACGGGUGCGUAACACGUGGGCAAUCUGCCGAGAAGUGGGGGAUAGCUCGCCGAAAGGCGAAUUAAUACCGCAUAUGAUCAGCUAAGACAUCUUAGCGACAUCAAAGCCGGGGGCAACCUGGCGCUUUUUGAGGAGCCCGCGGCCUAUCAGCUAGUUGGUGAGGUAACGGCUCACCAAGGCUAUGGCGGGUAGCUGGUCUGAGAGGACGACCAGUCACACUGGAACUGAGACACGGUCCAGACACCUACGGGUGCAGCAGUCGAGAAUUUUUCUCAAUGGGGCAACCCUGAAGGAGCGACGCCGCGUGGAGGAUGAAGGCUUUCGGGUU